rnacentral:rRNA from 1 species
GACGAACCGUGCGAACGUUGUUCGGAAUCACUGGGCUUAAAGGGCGCGUAGGCGGCUCGCGAGGUCGGGGGUGAAAUCCCGAGGCUCAACCUCGGGUCUGCAGUCGAUACGAGCAAACUAGAGUGUUGCAGGGGAGACUGGAAUUCCUGGUGUAGCGGUGAAAUGCGCAGAUAUCAGGAGGAACACCGGUGGCGAAGGCGGGUCUCUGGACAGUUCCUGACACUGAGACACGAAGGCCAGGGGAGCAAACGGG